CCAGCCCUGGUCACAUGAAGCUGUUGGAUGGGGCUUGCUGGGGGUGUGUGUUGGGGAUGAGUUAUUAGGACCUUGUGCUGUGGGCAGCUUCCCCGGACACGGGACGGCAUGACUGAGGGCUGACUGCCUGCUGAGAGAGGCUGGGAGAGCAGGCAAGGACCAGCGAGGGGACCGGGAAAGACGGGAGAGAGCGCUCCGGGACAGAGAUGAACAGACUGACCAAGAAAUGAGUUGCUGGCUCAAGGUCAUGCUGCUAAUUAGUGAUCCUGGAGAAAAUGACACCUACGGAUGAGACUGUGAAGGGAGGAGAAUCAGUCGGGUCAAAACUCUUCUCAGAGGCCACCCAGAAGUCAGAGAGAAAGAAGAGCAAUUACUUCUAACUUUGCAAGGAAAAGAACUAAGAACCCAGAAUUCCAGAUUCCAAUCGUGAGAAUAAAAGAACAAAAGAGAUUUUUCAAAUGA